rnacentral:misc_RNA from 1 species
GAUGAAGAACGCAGUGAAAUGCGAUAAGUAAUGUGAAUUGCAGAAUUCAGUGAAUCAUCGAAUCUUUGAACGCACAUUGCGCCCGCCAGUAUUCUGGCGGGCAUGCCUGUUCGAGCGUCAUUUCAACCAUCAAGCCCCCGGCUUGUGUUGGGGACCUGCGGCUGCCGCAGGCCCUGAAAAGCAGUGGCGGGCUCGCUGUCACACCGAGCGUAGUAGCCUACAUCUCGCUCUGGGCGUGCUGCGGGUUCCGGCCGUUAAACCACCUUCAUAACCCAAGGUUGACCUCGGAUCAGGUAGGAAGACCCGCUGAACUUAAGCAUAUCAAUAAGCGGAGGA